AGAGUUUGAUCAUGGCUCAGGACGAACGCUGGCGGCACGCUUAACACAUGCAAGUCGAACGAGAGAAGAGGAGCUUGCUUUUCUGAUCUAGUGGCGGACGGGUGAGUAACACGUGAGCAAUCUGCCUUUCAGAGGGGGAUACCGAUUGGAAACGAUCGUUAAUACCGCAUAACAUAAUUGAACCGCAUGAUUUGAUUAUCAAAGAUUUAUCGCUGAAAGAUGAGCUCGCGUCUGAUUAGCUAGUUGGUAAGGUAACGGCUUACCAAGGCGACGAUCAGUAGCCGGACUGAGAGGUUGAUCGGCCACAUUGGGACUGAGACACGGCCCAGACUCCUACGGGAGGCAGCAGUGGGGAAUAUUGCACAAUGGAGGAAACUCUGAUGCAGCGAUGCCGCGUGAGGGAAGAAGGUUUUAGGAUUGUAAACCUCUGUCUUCAGGGACGAAAAAAGACGGUACCUGAGGAGGAAGCUCCGGCUAACUACGUGCCAGCAGCCGCGGUAAUACGUAGGGAGCGAGCGUUGUCCGGAAUUACUGGGUGUAAAGGGAGCGUCGGCGGGAUCGCAAGUCAGAUGUGAAAACUAUGGGCUUAACCCAUAAACUGCAUUUGAAACUGUGGUUCUUGAGUGAAGUAGAGGUAAGCGGAAUUCCUAGUGUAGCGGUGAAAUGCGUAGAUAUUAGGAGGAACAUCAGUGGCGAAGGCGGCUUACUGGGCUUUAACUGACGCUGAGGCUCGAAAGCGUGGGGAGCAAACAGGAUUAGAUACCCUGGUAGUCCACGCCGUAAACGAUGAUUACUAGGUGUGGGGGGACUGACCCCUUCCGUGCCGCAGCAAACGCAAUAAGUAAUCCACCUGGGGAGUACGACCGCAAGGUUGAAACUCAAAGGAAUUGACGGGGGCCCGCACAAGCAGUGGAGUAUGUGGAUUAAUUCGAAGCAACGCGAAGAACCUUACCAGGUCUUGACAUCGUAUGCAUAGCUCAGAGAUGAGUGAAAUCUCUUCGGAGACAUAUAGACAGGUGGUGCAUGGUUGUCGUCAGCUCGUGUCGUGAGAUGUUGGGUUAAGUCCCGCAACGAGCGCAACCCUUACUGUUAGUUGCUACGCAAGAGCACUCUAGCAGGACUGCCGUUGACAAAACGGAGGAAGGUGGGGAUGACGUCAAAUCAUCAUGCCCCUUAUGACCUGGGCCUCACACGUACUACAAUGGCUGUCAACAGAGGGAAGCAAAGCCGCGAGGUGGAGCGAACCCCUAAAAGCAGUCUUAGUUCGGAUUGUAGGCUGCAACCCGCCUACAUGAAGUCGGAAUUGCUAGUAAUCGCAGAUCAGCAUGCUGCGGUGAAUACGUUCCCGGGCCUUGUACACACCGCCCGUCACGCCAUGGGAGUCGGUAACACCCGAAGCCUGUAGUCUAACCGCAAGGAGGACGCAGUCGAAGGUGGGAUUGAUGACUGGGGUGAAGUCGUAACAAGGUA
rnacentral:rRNA from 1 species